CUCAGCUACCUGGAAUCUUGAUUUUGAUACCCCAAGGCUUCUGUUUACAAUCCUUUUUAGGAAAUGUAUUGCAAAUAACAUGCAACUCUUCGGUCUCUUUACUUCUUUACGAGUUUACUCAGUGAAAUUAUUGUGGUUAAUUGUCUGCAGGCUUUGCUACAUUUUAUCUACUCCAACGAACUUCCUGAUUUCACUGAAAUUGUUGAUUCUUUGCCUACUUCUUGUACGACCAUGAUGCAACAUCUAUUAGCUGAUGCAGACCGCUUUGGUUUAGAUAGAUUGAAAUUAUUAUGUGAAGAAGAUUUAAGCACUGAUACAGUGGCAACAACUCUUUCCCUGGCAGAGCAACAUCACUGUGCACAACUCAAGUCAAUAUGUUUAAAACUUGGGAGGAACAGCAUCUCAAGGCAAGGCAUCAUUGAGGAGAUGUCAAAAUACACUGUACUAUGUUACCUCCCCCCAAAUUCCAAGAAUGAUGUUUCAUAUUGAUUUAGCAGAGUAUUAAUGGCUUGGUUUACUGUUACAGUGGUGAUGAAACUUGGAACAGAGCUGUCCCUCACUGUUGUUGGAGUUGCUGGAAACAGUGGCGUUGGCAGAUGAGAAGCCAAAUCUCGUAUCAGGUAAGAAAAGGAGCAGCAGCAGCAGAUGGCGUAGCAGAAUCCGUGAAUCCUAAUGGCCGCCGGAUGCGAAGAAGGGGCUAGCGCUGUGGAUGCAAAUUGAAGACAUGGGAACUAAGGCUCGUUUAUGUGUAUAGUAGGCUAUUUUUGUAUUUGCAUUACUCAAUCUACUCUAAUGAUUGACAACUAAGCACAGUUUAAUAUUAGUGUGCUCGAUUAGUCUGGUA